rnacentral:misc_RNA from 1 species
GGUGGGCCGCGCGGAGGGGACCGCGGUCAACCUGGCGUUCCUGCCGGCGGUCACCGACGGGCUGUGGAUGCGCGGGUUCCACGCGGUCGUUCCCGGGGUCCUGCGGGCCUUCGAGCCACAGAUCAUCGUCAUGCAGGCCGGAUGCGACUCGCACCGCGAGGACCCGCUCGCCGACCUGUCCCUCACGGUCGACGGGCACCGCGAGUCCUACCUCCGACUCAUC